UGCAGAAGAUGCCCAUACCGAGCCCUGGUGGAGGCAGCCGGUCUUGCUCAGGGGGUCAGUGGGGCUUAGAAACAG
ensembl:miRNA